UACGGGGGGAGCAAGCGUUGUUCGGAUUUACUGGGCGUAAAGGGCGCGUAGGCGGUCAGCACAAGUCAGUUGUGAAAUCUCCGAGCUUAACUCGGAAAGGUCAACUGAUACUGUGCGACUAGAGUGCGGAAGGGGCAACUGGAAUUCUUGGUGUAGCGGUGAAAUGCGUAGAUAUCAAGAGGAACACCCGUGGCGAAGGCGGCUCUCUGGAACGCAACUGACGCUGAGACGCGAAAGCGUGGGGAGCAAACAGG
rnacentral:rRNA from 1 species